rnacentral:rRNA from 1 species
GAUUUCUGGUUUGAUACAUUUUGCCGGCCACGGUUUCGUGUGUUAGUGCUUUAUGUUCUGACCAUCCUUCCAAUCGCUGCUCACUUUUCUUCAUUGAUUGGUGAGUGGUAUUGGAUCUUUUACUUUGAAAAAAUUAGAGUGUUUCAAGCAGGCUUUAUGCUAUGAAUACAUUAGCAUGGAAUAAUAAUUUAGGACUUCGGUUCUAUUUUGUUGGUUUCUAGGACUGAAGUAAUGAUUGAUAGGGAUAGUUGGGGGUGCUAGUAUUCAGCGGCCAGAGGUGAAAUUCUCGGAUUCGCUGAAGACUAACUUAUGCGAAAGCAUU